AGAGUUUGAUCCUGGCUCAGGAUGAACGCUAGCUAUAGGCUUAACACAUGCAAGUCGAGGGGAAACGGGAAAGCAGCUUGCUGCUUUUUGUCGUCGACCGGCGCACGGGUGAGUAACGCGUAUCCAACCUUCCCAUAACAAAGGGAUACUCCGUAGAAAUGCGGUCUAAUACCUUAUGUUCUCUUUAUUAGGCAUCUUUUAUAGAGCAAAGAAUUUCGGUUAUGGAUGGGGAUGCGUCUGAUUAGCUUGUUGGCGGGGUAACGGCCCACCAAGGCAACGAUCAGUAGGGGUUCUGAGAGGAAGGUCCCCCACAUUGGAACUGAGACACGGUCCAAACUCCUACGGGAGGCAGCAGUGAGGAAUAUUGGUCAAUGGGCGAGAGCCUGAACCAGCCAAGUAGCGUGCAGGAUGACGGCCCUAUGGGUUGUAAACUGCUUUUGUAUGGGGAUAAAGUUAGGGACGUGUCCCUAUUUGCAGGUACCAUACGAAUAAGGACCGGCUAAUUCCGUGCCAGCAGCCGCGGUAAUACGGAAGGUCCAGGCGUUAUCCGGAUUUAUUGGGUUUAAAGGGAGCGUAGGCUGGAGAUUAAGUGUGUUGUGAAAUGUAGACGCUCAACGUCUGAAUUGCAGCGCAUACUGGUUUCCUUGAGUACGCACAACGUUGGCGGAAUUCGUCGUGUAGCGGUGAAAUGCUUAGAUAUGACGAAGAACUCCGAUUGCGAAGGCAGCUGACGGGAGCGCAACUGACGCUUAAGCUCGAAGGUGCGGGUAUCAAACAGGAUUAGAUACCCUGGUAGUCCGCACAGUAAACGAUGGAUGCCCGCUGUUGGUACCUGGUAUCAGCGGCUAAGCGAAAGCAUUAAGCAUCCCACCUGGGGAGUACGCCGGCAACGGUGAAACUCAAAGGAAUUGACGGGGGCCCG
rnacentral:rRNA from 1 species